GGCACUUUGGCGGAGUGGUUAUCGCGCAGGCCUGCUAAGCCUGUUCCUUCGUAAGAUCAUCCGUUGUGAGUGUUGUCGCACAAUACUAAUUAGUGUAGGGGAGCCAGGGUUCGAAUCCCUGAGGUGUCG